rnacentral:rRNA from 1 species
AGUGAACGCUGGCGGCAGGCCUAACACAUGCAAGUCGAACGGCAGCACAGUAAGGGCUUGCUCUUACGGGUGGCGAGUGGCGGACGGGUGAGGAAUACAUCGGAAUCUACUUUUUCGUGGGGGAUAACGUAGGGAAACUUACGCUAAUACCGCAUACGACCUACGGGUGAAAGCAGGGGAUCUUCGGACCUUGCGCGAUUGAAUGAGCCGAUGUCGGAUUAGCUAGUUGGCGGGGUAAAGGCCCACCAAGGCGACGAUCCGUAGCUGGUCUGAGAGGAUGAUCAGCCACACUGGAACUGAGACACGGUCCAGACUCCUACGGGAGGCAGCAGUGGGGAAUAUUGGACAAUGGGCGCAAGCCUGAUCCAGCCAUACCGCGUGGGUGAAGAAGGCCUUCGGGUUGUAAAGCCCUUUUGUUGGGAAAGAAAAGCAGCAGGUUAAUACCCCGCUGUUCUGACGGUACCCAAAGAAUAAGCACCGGCUAACUUCGUG